CUGGCUUCCGGUUUGGGUGUGGUCGUGGAGUGGGCUUUGCUGCAGGUGAUUGCAGGGAGUGGACUGUUGCGACUGGGGUCUGGCAGAUGUAAGCCGAACCAAAUCACUGAAGUGAUUUGUGGAUUAUGGAUUUAGAAAGAUCAGAAGAUAGAAAAAAAUCCCUGAUAUUAAAAGAAAAGGAGGUGCCAUCGCCAUUGUGGGAGGCAAUGUAAGCUUGGCACAUGGAAGAAACACAUGCAUUGGAACUGGUGUCAGAAUCCUAGUUGGCAUUAAGGACAUUGAAGGACGAGGACAAGAUGGUGGAGUAGAAGAAUGUGAGCUCACCUCUUCUUACAGAAACACCAAAAUCACAACUAACUGCUGAACAAAACAUGCUGGAACCUACCCCAAAAGAUACCCUACAUCCAAAGACAAAGAAGAAGACUCAGUGAGACGAUCAACAUGAUGAGAAGAGGGAUGAUGAAGAGGCAGGUGAAGGUGAAGAAGUUAUAAAAAGCUUGAUGCCACCAUUGUGGAAAACUGCAGUGUGUUACACAUUGAGAGAAACCUUCUGUCUGUCCAGAGUCAUCUGCUAAAUGGAUCAUCCUGAAGAUGUAUAACUGUAUGAGAAAAUUUUUUAAAAAGUGAU